GGCGUCUAUUUCACUCGCCUUGGUCAUCACGCAUACAUAUUUAUUUCUUAUAUAAGCUACCUAUGGUCACUCACUGUUAAAUGCCGACUUACUUCUCAGACCUGUAGUAGUACUAGUACAAAGAGAUACAUGCAUUAAACCACAAUGGGCAACGUCAACAUUUGCAAAACCUGUCCCACAUAAUUCAAGUCAGACGAGCUACUACAUUGGUUUCCAGUGCAUGCACAAGGUUACUAAUGAACCGGAUUGCAGUUCAGCUUCAGUUAAACUCAAACAAUGAUUUCAAUUCAAACGUGAGGCCAUCAUAAUUCAUCCUUUACUAAUUCCUAAAACAAAUUUCAAAGAUGAAUUGGAAAUCUGGUCGCACAUGGCAAAACAGGGUCAAAUUCGUGGCAAUAUUUCAAAUUGUUGAUCGGUUCUUCGGUGUACGUUCUCAUUCUGAGCUGUCUCCUGGUUCUCGAAAUUAUUUCUUUUGAGAAAAAUAAUCCCGUGACUCGUCGCGCUUCGUGGGAAAGCCAAGAAAAUUCUGCCCUUCAAAAUUCUACGUUCCUGUCUUCACUUUUUGACCACGAUGAGCAAAGAAGUUCACUGGGACAAGUGAUUGGAAUUGCCAUAUUCAUCCUCGUCAUUUUCUUGUUCAUCGACUGGGAACUACUCAAAGCGGCCAACCAGAGAAAUGUCGGAAAAUGUAGAAUUUGGCGAACAGUGCGUUGCAUUCGCUUAACGUUCGCCAUAAUUAUUUUCAUUACGGGAUUUUACAAAGUCAGGAUGCAACAAUUGCAGGGCGUAGUGUUGGCGGAAAUCGUAGUAGAUUUGUGCUGCAUUUUUGUCGUGCAAAAAUUUAUUCGCGAACUGAAGUGUGAAGAGUGUGAGGAGGGCGACAUAAGGAGCUCUGUGUCUCAAGCAGCAGCCAUAACCGUGCAGGAUAAUUUUUACGAGGAAAAGAAGAUCAAGGAAAAGCAAAGGCCAGCAAAACAUGUGACCAUUGUCGAGUAAUUAAGUCCUCGAUUUGUUGUACAAUACCAUAAAACCGAUCUAUCGAAGGCUAUGCAGUGGAUUAAGAGAUGCAGGGUGUGCAUCUCUUGAGCUUUUAUUUAUGUAACAUAUUUACAUAUUUAUGUGUAUAUGCUGUAUUAUUUUUACUCAUGCUGCACAUUAACAAAUAAAUAUUUACAUCGUUUCUACA